rnacentral:tRNA from 1 species
UUCUAGCUCAGUUGGUAAAGCAUGAAACUCUUAAUCUCAGGGUCAUGGGUUUGAGCCCUACGUUGAGGAAAA